AUUGAACGCUGGCGGCAUGCUUUACACAUGCAAGUCGAACGGUAACAGGUUAAGCUGACGAGUGGCGAACGGGUGAGUAAUGCAUCGGAACGUGCCCGGUCGUGGGGGAUAACGCAGCGAAAGCUGCGCUAAUACCGCAUACGAUCUGAGGAUGAAAGCGGGGGACCGUAAGGCCUCGCGCGAUCGGAGAGGCCGAUGUCAGAUUAGGUAGUUGGUGGGGUAAAGGCUCACCAAGCCAACGAUCUGGAGCUGGUCUGAGAGGACGACCAGCCACACUGGGACUGAGACACGGCCCAGACUCCUACGGGAGGCAGCAGUGGGGAAUUUUGGACAAUGGGCGAAAGCCUGAUCCAGCAAUGCCGCGUGCAGGAAGAAGGCCUUCGGGUUGUAAACUGCUUUUGUACGGAGCGAAAAGGUCUCCUCUAAUACAGGGGGCUCAUGACGGUACCGUAAGAAUAAGCACCGGCUAACUACGUGCCAGCCGCCGCUGUAA
rnacentral:rRNA from 1 species